UUUGAGAACUUAUGUGAG
rnacentral:snRNA from 1 species